UACAGAGGUCCCAAGCGUUGUUCGGAUUCAUUGGGCGUAAAGGGUGCGUAGGCGGCGCGGUAAGUCGGGUGUGAAAUCUCGGGGCUUAACUCCGAAACUGCAUUCGAUACUGCCGUGCUUGAGGACUGGAGAGGAGACUGGAAUUUACGGUGUAGCGGUGAAAUGCGUAGAUAUCGUAAGGAAGACCAGUGGCGAAGGCGGGUCUCUGGACAGUUCCUGACGCUGAGGCACGAGGGUCAGGGGAGCAAACGGG
rnacentral:rRNA from 1 species